UUGUAGCAUUCACCAGGGCACCAUCAUCAAGUUGGCUGGUGAGGUCUAGAAGUCUGCAGUUACACUACAAGUGAAACUUUUGAAGCUUCGAAAUAUCACUCCAACAGUGAGGUGAAAUUACUAGCCUUCAACGUGCAUGGUUGUUGGUAUAGCUGGUAUCCGAGAGAAGCCAACAAGACGUAUGUGGUGUGCCCUCGGUGGUUUGUGUGGUCAGAUGCAAGCCGUACCAGCGGGGAAGUUGGGCCGGGAGCUGGAGUAAGCUAAUUGGCACGACGCCACCAUAGCGCAGGUAGGCCACGAGCCUUAAGAAAAAAACUUAAUAUUUAGUACAUUCAGGACACAUUCUUUUGUAUUCAUUGUAUCAAUGUGUGUUUUAGGACGGUGUAUAGUGGUGGCAGAAUGUUAAUAGUCACUGUUUUGCUUUCAUUUGUUUUAUAUUUUUAUUAUUUUGUUGUUUUCUUGGAUCGUGCCGGUUUCCUUGGUUAGGAAUUUUACUGAGUGCCCAUCUAGCCUUGGCAUAUGCAGCUGCUCUAUACUACCCUGGGGUCAGGGAGCAUAGAAUUUGCUUUGCUUAUUUGUUUUGUUUUGGGAGAAUCCUCACUGGGUUUGUUGUGUUCUAACAAGAGUGAUAUACCGUGUGCAGUGGUUUGAAUCCUCUUAAGUGUGCACGUUUCUUAUCUGACUUUGGGUCAUGUUGCUGUGAACUAAUGGACUGGUGUGAAUUUAACUAAUAAGGGUGUGUAACCAGUGAGUAAAGAUUUCUACCCUUCUUUGUGAUUUUCUUUAUCCCUGUACUCUAAGCCAAGUUGCAUGUGUCUUGUGUUGACCAACCAAAUUAUUGGCGUUACUUUUAUAAUAAAAAGAGAAUAU